UACGUAGGGUGCAAGCGUUAAUCGGAAUUACUGGGCGUAAAGCGUGCGCAGGCGGUCCGUUAAGACAGAUGUGAAAUCCCCGGGCUUAACCUGGGAACUGCAUUUGUGACUGGCGGACUCGAGUAUGGCAGAGGGGGGUAGAAUUCCACGUGUAGCAGUGAAAUGCGUAGAGAUGUGGAGGAAUACCGAUGGCGAAGGCAGCCCCCUGGGCCAAUACUGACGCUCAU
rnacentral:rRNA from 1 species